AGUGAACGCUGGCGGUAGGCCUAACACAUGCAAGUCGAACGGCAGCACAGUAAGAGCUUGCUCUUACGGGUGGCGAGUGGCGGACGGGUGAGGAAUACAUCGGAAUCUACUUUUUCGUGGGGGAUAACGUAGGGAAACUUACGCUAAUACCGCAUACGACCUACGGGUGAAAGCAGGGGAUCUUCGGACCUUGCGCGAUUGAUUGAGCCGAUGUCGGAUUAGCUAGUUUGCGGGGUAAAGGCCCACCAAUGCUACGAUCCGUAGCUGGUCUGAGAGGAUGAUCAGCCACACUGGAACUUAGACACGGUCCAGACUCCUACGAGAGGCAGCAGUUGGGAAUAUUGGACAAUGGGCGCAAGCCUGAUCCAGCCAUACCGCGUGGGUGAAGAAGGCCUUCGGGUUGUAAAGCCCUUUUGUUGGGAAAGAAAAGCAGCAGGUUAAUACCCCGCUGUUAUGACGGUACCCAAAGAAUAAGCACCGGCUAACUUCGUG
rnacentral:rRNA from 1 species